CAUGUUUCAAACAGCCAAUCUUGAAAUAUGUACACAUUUUCUUAUAGAAAUCUUAUUGAAACUUUCUUAUGAAAUAAAGCUGCAUCUGAAUAUACAAGGCAAGGGGAUUGCAGUGUUGAUCAAGGCUGGUUGAUUGGUGUGGAUUGGUGGGGUUUGAUGGGUUGGUUGAUGUGUUUGUGUUGAUUAUGGUCUAGAUGCAGUACAGUAUAGCUGGGUGGUAUGUGUGGAUUGGUGGGGUUUGAUGGGUUGGUUGAUGUGUUUGUGUUGAUUAUGGUCUAGAUACAGUACAGUAUGGCUGGGCGGUAUGCAGUACAGAGGGACUUCCUGGAUUGCAGCACCAGGUUAGAGGGAGAAGUAACAGACUGGGGACAUGAAGUGACAGUUCACACCCAUCAGAGUCUCACACAGGGCUCACAGUCAAUAGGAAGAGAGAGCACACAGAGAGAGACACAGACAGAGAUAGUGACCAUUAGACAAAGAGGAGAAAGAGGAGAGACCCCAGUGUUGUGGUUGAUUCAUCGAGGCAGUAGAAGCAGGAUGUGGGUCCUCAUCUGGGCAGCUCUACUUUUCUCUCUGACAGAGAGAACCACAUGCCCAAAGAAGGCCCCUCCAGCAGCAUACAACAUCACCUUCAGUCCAGCAGAGAUAACACCACAGACUGGACUAUGUGCUGUUAUUCCAUGUUCGUUCACUCACCC
ensembl:lncRNA